ACGGGGUGCAGCAGGCGCGAAAACUUCACACUGUGCGAAAGCACGAUGAGGGAAUCCCAAGUGCUGGCUCGUAAGAGUCAGCUGUUUCUCUGUCUAAAAAACAGAGAGAGUAAGAGCUGGGUAAGACGGGUGCCAGCCGCCGCGGUAAUACCUGCAGCUCGAGUGGUGGUCGCUAUUAUUGGGCCUAAAACGUCCGUAGCCGGUUUAGUAAAUGCCUGGGUAAAUCGUGUAGCUUAACUAUACGAAUUCCGGGUAGACUGCUAAACUUGAGACCGGGAGAGGCUAGAGGUACUCCUGGGGUAGAGGUGAAAUUCUGUAAUCCUAGGGGGACCACCAGUGGCGAAGGCGUCUAGCUAGAACGGGUCUGACGGUAAGGGACGAAGCCCUGGGGCGCAAACCGGAUUAGAUACCCGGGUAGUCCAGGGUGUAAACGCUGCUCGCUUGAUGUUAGUUGGGCUCCGAGCCCAAUUAGUGUCGGAGAGAAGUUGUUAAGCGAGCUGCCUGGGAAGUACGUCGCAAGAC
rnacentral:rRNA from 1 species